GGGGAUGUAGCUCAAUGCUAUAGUGCUUUCCUAGCAUGUGUGAGUCCCUGGGUUCCAUUCCCAGCACCCUCU
rnacentral:tRNA from 1 species